AUUGAACGCUGGCGGCAGGCCUAACACAUGCAAGUCGAACGAGUGGCGGACUGGUGAGUAAUGUCUGGGAAACUGCCUGAUGGAGGGGGCUAACUACUGGAAACGGUCGCUACUACCGCAUACCAUCAGCUGUGCCCAGAUGGGAUUAGCUUGUGGGUGGGGUAACGGCUCACCAGGGCGACGAUCCCUAGCUGGUCGUAGAGGAUGACCAGCCACACUGGAACGGAGACACGGUCCAGACUCCUAAGGGAGGCAGCAGUGGGGAAUAUUGCACAAUGGGCGAAAGCCUGAGGCAGCCAUGCCGCGUGUAUGAAGAAGGCCUUCGGGUUGUAAAGUACUUUCAGCGGGGAGGCGGUACCCGCAGAGGAAGCACCGGCUAACUCCGUGCCAGCAGCCGCGGUAAUUC
rnacentral:rRNA from 1 species